GCAUGGCCGUUCUUAGUUGGUGGAGUGAUUUGUCUGCUUAAUUGCGAUAACGAACGAGACCUCGGCUCUUAAAUAGCCCGGUCCGCGUUUGCGGGCCGCUGGCUUCUUAGGGGGACUAUCGGCUCAAGCCGAUGGAAGUGCGCGGCAAUAACAGGUCUGUAAUGCCCUUAGAUGUUCUGGGCCGCACGCGCGCUACACUGACAGGGCCAGCGGGUACAUCACCUUGGCCGAGAGGUCUGGGUAAUCUUGUUAAACCCUGUCGUGCUGGGGAUAGAGCAUUGCAAUUAUUGCUCUUCAACGAGGAAUGCCUAGUAGGCACGAGUCAUCAGCUCGUGCCGAUUACGUCCCUGCCCUUUGUACACAC
rnacentral:rRNA from 2 species